GCUCAUAUAGCUCAGUUGGUAGAGCGCAUCCUUGGUAAGGAUGAGGUCCCCGGUCCGAAUCCGGGUAUGAGCUCCA
rnacentral:tRNA from 1 species